CCUACGGGAGGCAGCAGUGAGGAAUAUUGGUCAAUGGGCUUACGCCUGAACCAGCCAAGUCGCGUGAGGGAAGACUGCCCUAUGGGUUGUAAACCUCUUUUGUCAGGGAGCAACGCCGGCUACGUGUAGCCGGACUGAGAGUACCUGAAGAAAAAGCAUCGGCUAACUCCGUGCCAGCAGCCGAGGUAAUACGGAGGAUGCGAGCGUUAUCCGGAUUGAUUGGGUUUAAAGGGUGCGUAGGCGGAAUGCCAAGUCAGCGGUAAAAUCGCGGGGCUCAACCUCGCUCCGCCGUUGAAACUGGCGUUCUUGAGUGGGCGAGAAGUAUGCGGAAUGCGUGGUGUAGCGGUGAAAUGCAUAGAUAUCACGCAGAACUCCGAUUGCGAAGGCAGCAUACCGGCGCCCAACUGACGCUGAAGCACGAAAGCGUGGGUAUCGAACAGGAUUAGAUACCCUAGUAGUA
rnacentral:rRNA from 1 species